rnacentral:tRNA from 1 species
UAGCUCAGAGGGUAAAGCAUCUGCCUGCAAUGCAGGAGACUCAGGUUCAAUCCCUGG